UACAGGGGGGGCAAGCGUUGUUCGGAAUUACUGGGCGUAAAGCGUGCGCAGGCGGUUUUGUAAGUCUGACGUGAAAUCCCCGGGCUUAACCUGGGAAUUGCGUUGGAGACUGCAAGGCUAGAAUCUGGCAGAGGGGGGUAGAAUUCCACGUGUAGCAGUGAAAUGCGUAGAGAUGUGGAGGAACACCGAUGGCGAAGGCAGCCCCCUGGGUCAAGAUUGACGCUCAUGCACGAAAGCGUGGGGAGCAAACAGG
rnacentral:rRNA from 1 species